AGUGAACGCUGGCGGCAGGCCUAACACAUGCAAGUCGAGCGGCAGCGCGGGGGUAACCCUGGCGGCGAGCGGCGGACGGGUGAGUAAUUCGUCGGAAUCUGCCUUUUUGUGGGGGAUAACGUAGGGAAACUUACGCUAAUACCGCAUACGUCCUGCGGGAGAAAGUGGGGGACCUCAGGACCUCACGCAGAAAGAUGAGCCUACGACCGAUUAGCUAGUUGGUGGGGUAAAGGCCUACCAAGGCGACGAUCGGUAGCUGGUCUGAGAGGAUGAUCAGCCACACUGGGACUGAGACACGGCCCAGACUCCUAAGGGAGGCAGCAGUGGGGAAUAUUGGACAAAGGGCGAAAGCCUGAUCCAGCCAUGCCGCGUGUGUGAAGAAGGCCUUCGGGUUGUAAAGCACUUUUGUCCGGAAAGAAGUCCCUGGAGCUAAUACCUUCGGGGGAUGACGGUACCGGAAGAAUAAGCACCGGCUAACUUCGUG
rnacentral:rRNA from 1 species